GGUUGGAUCAUUAUAAAAUAAUGGUUCUCUAGGUUGAGUUUUGAACUUUUUCGGUUCAGAAUUCCUUAGAGAAUUCCAACAACACUUUGUGCACCGUAAAUGUUUUUCGAGUACUAUACUAUAUACUUUAUAGUAUAUAACCAGUACUCGGCAGUAUUAUAAACCCCUUUUUUAUAUUUUUGUCUGAUUUUUUAUGAAAAUAAAAAGAAAACAACUUUUGACAACGGAUCUCUUGGCUCUCGCAACGAUGAAGAACGCAGCGAAAUGCGAUACGUAAUGUGAAUUGCAGAAUUCCGUGAAUCAUCAAAUCUUUGAACGCACAUUGCACUCUAUUUCGGUAGAGUAUGCCUGUUUGAGAAUCUAAUGUAUUCUUUUUCCUAAGGUCUUUGUACAUUAGGAGAGAUUUGUAGAAUCUCUAUGCUAUGUCAUAGAGUUCUAUUAAUUAUAUAGCUCGGUUUAAUUAUAGAAUUUAUUUUCUAUAAAACAAAUUGCAGAAAAGUAUUUGAAUGGAACUUUUAGUUUCUCCCUGUACUGACUAGGCAGUUUGGACUGAGUCCAUAACUAUGUAAAAGUUUUAUUAGUAAUCAAAUUUUUGGUAAAAGUAAUUCUUUUGAACCAUGGUCUCAAAUCAGGUAGGAUUACCCGCUGAACUUAAGCAUAUCAAUAAGCGGAGGAAAAGAAACUAACAAGGAUUCCCCUAGUAACGGCGAGUGAAGCGGGAAUAGCUCAAAUUUGAAAUCUCACUGUUUUACAGUGCGAAUUGUAGUUUAGAGAAACGUUUUCAGGGUCGGUCGUUAGUACAAGUUCUUUGGAACGAGACAUCAUAGAGGGUGAAAAUCCCGUCUUUGACUAAUGAUUUGAUUCUAUAUGAUACGUUUUCCAAGAGUCGGUUUGUUUGGGAAUGCAGACCAAAAUGGGUGGUAAAUACCAUCUAAAGCUAAAUAUUGGCGAGAGACCGAUAGCGAACAAGUACCGUGAGGGAAAGAUGAAAAGAACUUUGAAAAGAGAGUUAAACAGUACGUGAAAUUGUCAAAAGGGAAACGCUUGAAACCAGUAUUGUUUAUAGUAAUUCAGCUAUUCUUUGAAUAGUGUAUUUUAUUAUCGACGAGUCAACAUCAGUUUUGUUUGAGGUAAAAAGCUAUAGGAAGGUGAACACUUUUCGGAGUGUUUUUAUAGACUAUAGUAAUGCCUUGGAUGAGACUGAGGUCUGCAGCAUUAUUUGGCCAUCUGGCACACCAAUGCUUAGGAUGUUGACGAAAUGGUUUUAAACGACCCGUCUUGAAACACGGACCAAGGAGUCUAACAUAUAUGCGAGUAUUUGGGUGGUAAACUCUUAUGCGUAGUGAAAGCGAAAAGGUGGGAUUCUUUACUGAUGCACCAUCGGCCGCGCCAGAUUAUUACUAUCUCGGCGUGAGUAUGAGCAUAUCUGUUGGGACCCGAAAGAUGGUGAACUAUGCCUGAAUAGGGUGAAGCCAGAGGAAACUCUGGUGGAGGCUCGUAGCGGUUCUGACGUGCAAAUCGAUCGUCAAAUUUGGGUAUAGGGGCGAAAGACUAAUCGAACCAUCUAGUAGCUGGUUCCCUC
rnacentral:misc_RNA from 1 species